rnacentral:lncRNA from 1 species
UAUACUAAAAAUAAGAUAUUCAUUCGUUUCAAUAAUUGAUAGAAUACAUAAGACGCAAAUACAAAUUCAAUUUUUCUAAAAACGAAAAGGAUGAAUCUGCAAACAAACUCACAAUAUCCAAGUUAAUAAUAACAUUACAAUGGUAAAAUGCUUACAAAUAAUAUGAUAAAAUCAAAGUGACCGAAAUAUCCAUGCUUCUGGAUCUGCAACGUUGACUUCCAAAUCAUAGAUUGAAUCUGCAAUUGAUUGAAGUUGAUCUUUCAAUAUGAACUAAAUGAACGCCACAACAAGACAGAAAACCGAAAACGACGUACCAAUCAGACGACGACCAACACACUGUGCGCAUAUUAUUACACUUAUUUAUGAAACAUAUUUCAUGACACUUGGAUUCGGGUCAAAAUCCUUCUUUUACUUAACAUCAAUGUAAUUUUCUUCAUUGCUAGAAACCGUGGGUUUUAGUUCAAAAUCUUUAAUGGCUCCUUUCUUUUCCUCUGCAUCUAUCCCAUGAUAAGAGAAAGUAUUAGGUCUUGGUUCAAAAUCUUUAAUGGCUCCUUUAUAAGAGAAAGCAUUAGGUCUUGGUUCAAA